CUUUUUUCGCUCUCAACCUCUCCGUCCAUUAAAAGAAACACUUUUUUAUUUCCACACUCGACAUAUUGAUCUAAUAUCUUCAGAUGAAUCCGCGCGAACGCGCUUGGAGGUUGCGCUCCGUGAUUGUGUGGUUUGUUCUUUGAAAGAAAGUGACUGUUCUGUUCGGUUUAUAAAUCUCGUGUUCCCUUUUUUUUUUUUGUUUCUACUUCCAAGUAUGUAAUUACAUUUUUUUCCCCUCCUCAGAGUACCAAUUGAACUGUUUAUUUUAUUGAAAUGCAUCAUUUAGUUUUAAACGCAACAGCCGCAGUUGGAAUGAUUGAACACUUUGAGUAAAAAGUGUCCUCAAUAAGACGGUAUGUGUAAAUGAAAAGGAAAGUGAAAAUGAUUGCAAGUACAUUACGGGCGAACAGAAAGAGCGACAUGGAAUUCCAUACCCCAAAUGGGUGAGAACUUAUUCCUGCCGCAAGCUGCUCCCGACUGUUAAUGGUUAUGACGUAACUGGUGGAAGAUUACAUCGUCGUUUACAGUCGAGAUAACCUUUUUUUGAUGACACUUGACUUUCUUUUUUCUUGUUCGGUAUUUCAGCGUUAGAGCUGUAUGAUGCAAACCUAAUCUACUAUCAAAUUUAAAGGCAUCUAGUUAGCUUAGAACUGGCGGAGCAAACGCGGAGUGCGCUACGAAUGUCGAAACCGUUCGCUCUGAUUCCAAGAUUAAAUUCGUGAUAGUGUCAGGUAUUUAGCAAAGUAAUCUGAGGCAUAUUCAGAUUUUGCAUCACCUUUGUUUGCAGUCGUCAUCAAUGAAACAAUAGAUUCAUUAACCUUGUACCCAGAAUGCGCAGCACACGAGCUCGUGCUGAAUUCCAAAAGGUGACGGGAGUCACGAAUUUUCUGACUGUUUUUUUUCCCUCUCCCUCACGAGGUCGCCGACAAUCCGACGACUUGGACGAUCAACGGGAACGUACAACGGAGAACAGAAUAAGAGGCAGAGAAUGGACGCUAUAGUCGAAUUCUUGAAAAGGGAAAAUCGAUACGACCUUGCCGAUCCUUGCCACUGGGCUUUUCAACAUUUCCUUCCAUCGAAGAUCUACACGUCGUCGUGUGCAAGACAUUUAGCGCAUAUCUAUACCUAUCUAUCCCCAAUUGCUCACGACCUUUUACGUCUUUUCGAAACUUUUUAAUAUCUCAGCGUUCACCAGUUCGUCAAGCAUGUUUUGCUUUUUUUUUUCCACGUUUCACUGCCGUCUUUUUUGGUGUUGCGUUAUAACCGACGCCAAAACAUAUCUAUAUAAACAUACUUUGCAUUAUGCAUAACUGACACUUUCAAUGCCACCAGUUGAUUGUCAGUAUUUAUAUGAAGAAAACCAGAGCGUAAGAAGAACAUACAAAUUGGGGUCAGCCAUGACCGACGAGACAAGCGAAUGAAAAAAAAAGUGAAAACAAAGUAUCACUGGCGACGAAUUAGAUUUCUUUUUUCAUUUUUUUUUUGGUUGUUCUCUGAGCCCGGAUACAUAAUACCUCAAUAGCGGAUUUGUGCUGAUCUCGGCAAACUACAAGCGCUGCUACCGCUGUUACGGGACAUGCAUGUAUGCGCGGGUGCGCUCACGCACCAAAAAUGGACCGGGAUGUCGAGUCCAUCCCUUCGCCAUCAGUUCGGGACUCUCGAGAAACAAGAGACCUGACAAAAAAAAAAAAUAGUGACGACGUCGAUUGGCGUCGGUUGCAGACCGAUCUGAUGGAAUGUCUCAUUCGCAUUUAUCCGCAUAAACAAGAAACAUUCUUUCAUUCGUGCCUUGUGUCUGUAGGCCACGGUCGCACUGUGAAAACCCGCAGUAGUCGUACAACAGAAACGAAAACGGAAAAGCGGAUUGGGAUAUUUCUCUCUCUGGCCGUCCCAGAAAUAGGUCGGGCUCAAUGCGCGGGCGCCAACCGGCCAUGCCACCAAACCGUAUUGGUUUACCCUAAACAAGAUGAAAUCCCCAUAUAAAUGAGGAGGAGGUGUGCAUGGGGUUCUCUCUUUCAUUCGACGUCGAUAACCAUGUAGGGAACAUAAGAGAAAUGGAAAUCACACAGAGAUGCAAAGAAAUCCCAGUCAAGGCAAUGGCCAUGGAUUUUGCCCGGUUUGUCUUUUUAUCUUGUAAUUCUUUCUUCUCCGGCUUGAGAAACGAAUUGUUGAAAGAAAUAAAAUGUUUAAACGGUGAA